GUAUGCCACGCCACUAAGUGGCAUUUCGUUCAAACAUAUUCAGUAACUAGACGUCCUUUCGAAAGUUCUUUGCCUGGAAAAGAAAUUCUUCAUUUUCAAAUUUCUUCGUCCUGCAUUUCAUCAAAAUCUUUCAAUGUCGGUUAUUUUUAUAUGUUUUUGAGUCUUUUUUCUGUUGUAGAGUAGAAAAUGAAGAAAACAUAUUCAAAGCUAUACAAUUUGAUAAUAUACAAAAGUUUUAAAAUAUAUUGCAUCAAGGUAUAUGUGUCAAAAGUGCUGUUUACUUGAUUGUCUGCUUUUCUUAUUAUAUACAAUCUUUGAUGCAGGAGUAAGCUUCUCCCUUUUGUUGUGAUAAUAAACCAAAUGAUAAAAUUCGGUUCGAGGAUAUCUAUAUAUUUGUAGUGCAAUGUUAACUUUGUCAACACAUGCAAAAUAUACGCCUUCUGUUUUAUUUGUAUAAUUGGUGUCUUUUUUUUCUCAUUUUUGGGGCGAUUAAACAAAAAUCUAAAAAGGCGAUAAAAUCUGAGGUUUACGAGAAAGAAGAACUUCAAGUGUAUUCAAUAAUUGAGAAGCUUAUCAUUAGAUUGAACUUUGGACAAGAUGGUGGAUCAAUUUCAAUUACCAUCACGCCCCAGUCCAAACUACCAGGAGUUUAUUUUUGUUGAAUAGUGUAAAUAGUUAUGUAAACCUUUUUGGUAGAAUUAGAUAUUGAUGUAUCCGCAUGUAAUCGUCGUUUCACUCUAGGUAUUUUUUAAGUAAUUUGCAGAGUGAUGAUACUGUAGAAAGGUGUAGAGAUCGUAAAGCUGGUCUUCUUAUACCCAUAAUUAAAAAGUUCGAACUUGAGCCAAAUUUUGUAAGCAUAGUUACUUUUACCAAGAAAAAUAAUUAAGAAAAAUUGUGAAUGGCUUCAUUCUCUAUAUAUGAUCCCAUUUAUCGGUCCAUAAUACACAAGUUUUAUAUGUUUGGCUACUUUGGACUUACAAAGCCACCUGGAUUAUUAAGUCAUGAUGAGUUUUUUUAGCUCAGGUGAGCUUUUCUCAUCACUUGUCGUCCGUCGUCCAUCGUC
rnacentral:lncRNA from 1 species